rnacentral:lncRNA from 1 species
UGUUUAUAGUUAUAUGAUACGUACGAAGCAGUGCACCCUCCUAUCUUGUACCAGUACAAGCGCAGAGCCCAAAAGGAGUGACAGAAGGACAGUCUGAGUUUGGCCCAUGAGUGUUGGUACUCAUUGAGUGAUGCUUUAUGGAUAAGGAAUAAAAGAAUAACGGUAUUAUGCUGAGUCAUCGACAGAGCACGUGAUCUUGUUGGUCAGGUGAAGAGCAUGAGGAGGUCAUCAACCAUACGGAGAGUAGUAUAAGUAGAGAGAAGGGAGAAUAGAAAUAGGUAUCAGUUGUAUUGUCAAUCUUGUUCAUGAAGGAGAGUGAGUAAACUCCAAAGAAAAACUCGCUGUACUUCGUUCAUUGAUUAAUACAACGUUCGUUCUUCCUAUUUUCUUCUAAGUUACACGUUUGAUACAUCCAAAGUGUAUCAGAUUGGUAUCAGAGCAGUCGAAUCUGGGAACCAUGCCACCAAAAAAAUCGGAUCUGGAGCUUACCUUGGAGCAGCAGACGAGCCGGAUCUCGUCCCUGGAGCAGGGUAUGAGCGAUAUCUCCGAGCUUAAGCUGUCCAUGGGUGAGAUGAAGCAACAACUCGCGACCAUGUUUGGCCGUUGGGAGCAAGAGCAGAAGGAACGUGACGACGAGAAACUUCGGGUACGUACGUUGGAGAAAGGGAAGGGCCAGAUGUAUGAACCCAGUGGAUCGGGUGCUACGAUCGGGAGCAGAGUCCAUGAGGGAGACGAUCGUUGGGGUCCGAUGAGGUCACCACCGCCGUUCUCCGGUCGGGAGGAACGUUCCAGCGGUCGAGGUUGGGGGGGUCAAGGAUCGGGUUUUCUGGGUGAUCGCACACCUUGGAAGACUCGUCGCUUGGAGUUACCAACGUUCGACGGUGAAGAGGCGGAAAGCUGGAUCUUACGAGUGGAGGAGUUUUUCGAUCUGGGUGACUUCACGGCGGAGGAAAAGUUGAGGGCGGUCCGUUUGUGUUUCACCGGUGAAAGCGUUUAACCGUGAGUUCAUCUCACUGGCUUCUUACGCACCAGAGAUCGCCGAUUCUGUGUUGGAGAUCGCCUACUCUAAUGGGUUGAAGUCGAAGAUUCGCGCGGGUAUGAAGAUGUUUGACCCGCGUAAUCUCGAUCAGAUGAUGAAAAUGGCGAAGAAGGUCGAGGAAUGGGAAAACGAUGAGGAGGUUGGUGGGCCUCGUACAGUCAAGGCCAUUUCGGGGAGUCACCAUUCCUCAUCCAAGGCCGCGACUACUGGACAGCCUCAGACCCAACAGCAAAAGAGCAAGGCCCAUGUCGGGCCUACGACCCAGCGUAAUGACGGAAAUAGGGCUCAGCAGACGCACGGGAGGCUGAAACCCCCUUUUCGGAGGCUGACACCGACGGAGGUCGAGAAAUGGAAGGCGGAGGGCUUAUGUUUCAAGUGCGAUGAGAAAUUUCACCCAAAUCAUCCUUGUGCGCAGGCUCAGUUGACCGUUUUGAUUCUCCAUCCAAACGGCAUUGAGGAGGAGCUGUUGGAGGAACCAUGCGAGCUGAUUACCGACACCGGGGGAGUUGAAGUGAUGGUGGCAGAGGUCUCCAUCAACUCCGUGGUAGGCAUUGCGUCCCCCAGGACGAUGAAACUUAGGGGAUCGAUUGGUGAGACAUCUGUGGUAGUGUUGAUCGAUAGUGGGGCGACACAUAACUUUGUGUCCGAGAACUUGAUCAAGAAGCUGGGGCUCACGGCGAGUUCUACCGGUUCGUAUGGAGUGCUGGUUGCGGGAGGAGUUAAAGUACAGGGAAAGGGUGUGAUCGAAGGGUUGGAGCUGCAGUUACCCUCGUAUACUAUCAAGACGAGUUUCUUGCCACUUGAACUUGGAAUAGCUGACGUCAUUCUUGGUAUCCAGUGGCUUGAUACUCUGGGCGAGAUGUUGGUCAAUUGGAAGGUCCAACAAAUGAAAUUCUGGUGGGAAGAUAAAUGGGUAACCUUGCAGGGAGAUUUGAGCCUGCACUCUGCAGAGGUGUCGUUGAAGUCGUUGUGGAAGGCGUUGGGCAAGGAGGAAGAAGGGAUUAUCGUGGAAUAUGGAGGUAUUCAAAGGGAGGAAGUCGCGUUGGGGGUGACAACGACAGGAGGUUGGGGACCGUUGUUACAACAAUUCUCUAAGGUUUUCGAGGAACCUACGGAGCUUCCUCCUUCACGUGGGAAAGAGCAUGGAAUCACUUUGGAGUCAGGGGCACGACCUGUGAAUGUUCGGCCGUUUCGCUACCCGCAGGUGCAGAAGGCGGAGAUCGAAAGGCAAAUAGCUUCUAUGCUCGCAGCUGGGAUAAUACAGGAGAGUGGAAGUCCGUUUUCCAGUCCGGUACUCUUGGUAAAGAAGAAAGACGGGAGCUGGAGGUUUUGCGUGGACUAUAGAGCGCUCAACAGAGUAACGGUGGCUGACAAAUAUCCCAUUCCGAUGAUUGAUCAGUUACUGGAUGAGCUUCACGGCGCCACCAUCUUCUCGAAGUUGGACUUGAGGUCCGGUUAUCACCAAAUAUUGGUUAAACAAGAGGAUGUUCCGAAAACGGCAUUUCGCACACAUGAUGGACACUAUGAGUUUUUGGUGAUGCCCUUCGGGCUUUCAAAUGCACCGGCUACCUUUCAGUCCCUGAUGAACCAAGUUUUCCGUCCGUAUCUCCGUCGUUUUGUGUUGGUGUUCUUCGACGACAUUCUCGUAUACAGCCGCAGUGAAGAAGAGCACAAGGAGCACUUGACCAUCGUGUUACGAGUUUUGGAGGAGCAGAAGUUGUAUGCGAAUAUGAAGAAAUGUCAGUUUGGCAGUUCGCAGGUGGAGUACUUGGGCCACAUAAUCUCGGGGCAAGGCGUAGCGGUGGAUGGUGAGAAAAUCAAGGCAAUGCUCCAGUGGCCGAUACCCAAAACGGUGAAGGAGUUGCGUGGAUUUUUGGGCCUCACCGGUUACUAUAGGAAGUUCGUGCGGGAUUAUGGAAGCAUUGCCCGGUCGCUCACCAUUCAGCUCAGGAAGGACCAGUUUCAGUGGGACGCUGAGGCAGCUCGGGCUUUUCAAUCCCUUCAGCGCGCUAUGACGACGGUACCUGUUCUGGCAAUGCCAAAUUUCGAGGAGACAUUUGUGGUGGAGUCGGAUGCUUCCGGGGUGGGGUUAGGAGCAGUCUUGAUGCAGAAUCACCGACCUAUUGCCUACUUUAGUCAAGCUCUCACCGACCGCCAGAAACUUAAGUCCGUUUACGAGAGGGAGUUAAUGGCGAUCGUAUUUGCAAUUCAAAAGUGGCGUCAUUACCUGAUUGGCAGGAAGUUUGUGGUACGCACAGAUCAAAAGAGUUUGCGGUUUCUUAUGGAGCAGAGGGAAGUCAACCUUGAGUAUCAGAAAUGGCUCACCAAGUUGUUGGGAUUUGAUUUUGAGAUUGUGUACAAGCCGGGCUUAGAGAAUAAGGCAGCUGAUGCUUUAUCUCGCAUUGUGGGCGUCAAGGAGUUAUUUGCAGUCUCAGUGGUUCAGGCUCUGCAGUUGGAGGAGAUCGCUAGCGAAGUUGACAAAGAUCAGGGGUUACAACAGCUCAUUGCGGAGUGGAAGGAGGAUCCGGCUAAGCACCCUGACUUUGUUUUAAUUCAAGGUCGACUGUUGCGUAAAGGGAAGCUGGUAGUUCCACAGUCUUCCUCAUUAGUGGGCGUGAUAAUGGCUGAGUAUCACAAUGGGAAGCUUGGAGGUCAUGGAGGAGUUGUCAAAACACAGAAAAGGAUUGGAGAGAUUUUUUUCUGGGAGGGCAUGAUGACUGACAUUCGCCGGUUCGUUGCUUCUUGUGCAGUCUGUCAGCGCCAGAAAUACUCGACGUUGGCUCCGGGAGGUUUACUACAACCACUGCCGGUUCCUGCACAGGUUUGGGAAGACCUUUCAAUGGACUUCGUUGAAGGCCUUCCCCGCUCUCAAGGGAAAAACACAGUGAUGGUAGUAGUGGAUCGAUUGACCAAGUUCAGUCACUUCAUCGGGAUGAGUCAUCCUUUUUCUGCAACAGAUGUGGCUAUGUUGUUCACUCAGGAGGUGGUGCGUCUGCAUGGGUUUCCCCGCACCAUUGUCUCUGAUCGCGACAAGGUCUUCACGAGCUCCUUUUGGAAGGAGCUGUUCCGUCUCUCUGGUACCAAGCUCUGUUUUAGCACGGCGUAUCACCCACAGUCGGAUGGACAGACCGAGGUUACUAACCGGAGCAUGGAGACCUACUUGCGCUGUUUUGCGGGGGAUAAACCCAAGACUUGGUUUCAGUAUUUAGCGUGGGCAGAGUUCAGCUAUAAUUCUUCAUUUCACUCUUCACUCCAGAUGACCCCUUUCCGGGCUCUUUAUGGGCGUGAUCCCCCGUCGUGGGUGAAGUUUGAAAAUGGCUCAACCUCGAAUGCGGGUCUUGAAGACCUUCUCCUGGACAGAGACGCAGCUUUACAACUGUUAAAGGAGCACCUUCAUCGCGCUCAACAGAUCAUGAAGGAGCGCGCUGAUAAGCAUCGCAGGGAGAUUGAGUUUGCUGUUGGUGAUUGGGUCUACGUCAAGCUAAGGCCGUAUCGACAACGUUCCUUGGCCAGGCGUUUAAAUGAGAAGCUGUCGGCAAGGUACUAUGGACCGUUUGAGGUAGAAGCACGGGUGGGUAAGGUGGCUUACAAGCUCAAGCUACCGGAGGAUGCGAAGAUUCAUCCCACCUUCCACAUCUCUCAACUUAAGAAGGCCGUUGGCGACACUACCGACAGUUCUCCCUUACCCCCGCAGUUGAGUAGUGAGGGUGAAUUGCUGGUGCAGCCUGAGAAAGUGGUCGAAACAAGGGUUAAUGGUCGUACUGGGCAGCGUGAGGUGUUGAUCAAAUGGUUGGGUCUUCCUAGUCAUGAGUGUACGUGGGAGUGGGCAUCAGCGAUAGCGAAGCGUUUUCCGACCUUUGACCUUGAGGACAAGGUCAAUUUCGAAGGGGAUGGUAUUGAUACGUACGAAGCAGUGCACCCUCCUAUCUUGUACCAGUACAAGCGCAGAGCCCAAAAGGAGUGACAGAAGGACAGUCUGAGUUUGGCCCAUGAGUGUUGGUACUCAUUGAGUGAUGCUUUAUGGAUAAGGAAUAAAAGAAUAACGGUAUUAUGCUGAGUCAUCGACAGAGCACGUGAUCUUGUUGGUCAGGUGAAGAGCAUGAGGAGGUCAUCAACCAUACGGAGAGUAGUAUAAGUAGAGAGAGGGGAGAAUAGAAAUGGGUAUCAGUUGUAUUGUCAAUCUUGUUCAUGAAGGAGAGUGAGUAAACUCCAAAGAAAAACUCGCUGUACUUCGUUCAUUGAUUAAUACAACGUUCGUUCUUCCUAUUUUCUUAUAAGUUACACGUUUGAUACAUCCAAAGUGUAUCAUUAUAGUCUUGAGUUAAGAACU